rnacentral:misc_RNA from 1 species
AAAAGAAAAAAAAAUACAAGGCAAAUUCAUGCUCUGAAAAAACUGCCGGAUAGAUAUAUAAUAGAAGCUUCAAGUCAGGUCAUCAAGCCAGAAAAAGCUCAGGAAAAAAAUUAUUAACUGGAGGCAGAGCUCUAGAGAGGUUUAGCCUCCAUGGCCUUGUCGAUUGAAGAUGAAAGAACUCAAGAAGAAGAAACAAGGGACGAAUGUGUGAUAUUUAUUCUUCAAAAAAUGGAACACAAAAGCGAAGCAACGCCUAUACUUGAACAAGGGGUCAUGAAAGAAAUGGCAGGGUUCUGACAUUGUCAGCCUUUUCUGGCUUGCCCGCCCGCCGCAGGCCAACUUCAGAGAAAAUGCGCGCAUUUUUACCUGUAUGGAAGAUGAAUGUCCCAUUCGAAACUAUAGAACGUUAACUCCACAAUUUUGUUCGCCUGCUCCAAUUGCCCAAUUGCUCUGCUGACCUGAG